UACGAAGGGUGCAAGCGUUAAUCGGAAUUACUGGGCGUAAGGGGUGCGUAGGCGGUUGUUUAAGUCUGUCGUGAAAUCCCCGGGCUCAACCUGGGAAUGGCGAUGGAAACUGGGCAGCUAGAGUGUGUCAGAGGAUGGUGGAAUUCCCGGUGUAGCGGUGAAAUGCGUAGAGAUCGGGAGGAACAUCAGUGGCGAAGGCGGCCAUCUGGGACAACACUGACGCUGAAGCACGAAAGCGUGGGGAGCAAACAGG
rnacentral:rRNA from 1 species